rnacentral:lncRNA from 10 species
GGUGGGGUGGGGCAGUGCUUAUAAAACAACCGGAGUGAGCAUGUCCUGCUUUUUACAUUCAUAUGGCUUUAACCCCAUUCUUCUAGUGCCUAAGGAUGGGGAACUUUCAGGCUCAUACUAGAGGUUUUUAGGCCCACCCUAUGUGUUUUUAAGGACAGAGUCCAGGCUCACCUUAGUUCUCAGACCACUGUGCCUCUGUGGCCUCACCCUAUGACCAGCCAUAGGGUGGCAAGGUCUAGGCCUUCUCCUACAGGUUUCCGGUGACCCUUGUGUCUGUGUCACUUCCUUCAGAAAUCGACGUGGCCGUCCUUGAUUUUCUUUUGUGAGCCUUACACCAAGCCAAACUAUUGUCAAAGCAUCAUUUCUAUAGAAAUAAAGCCUUAUCUUGACCUGUUCUAUUAAAACCUGCCACACCCGCCCUUUCCUACCUAGAUUUAAUGAGCCCAAGUUUUUAAAAUGGAAGAAAUGACUCUGGGGCAAAGACCCCUAAUGAACUAGUGGCAGAGCCAGGAAUAAAACUUGAGUAACUAAUGAGUCACUUAUGGGCAGAGUAUGCAAAAACCUUAAGUGGAAACCAAAUAGACCCUGGUAUCAAGAAAGCACAAAGUAUUAAUAGAAGUUUCUGGUUGGGGUGAUCUAGGUUCAACAGAAAUAAGAUGAUUUCUAAGUAUAAAGCCAUUUAAGAAUUCCAGAGUAGGGUGGGAAAGCAAAAAGCCAGCUCUGAACAGGUAACAGCUACAUGGUGACUGAGUCUAUGGGCAAAAGUUCUUGCAUCACAGGCUUUUGGGAACUAGCCUAUCACAGGGCCCUGUACAAAUAAACUUGGCUGCAAUCCCAGCUCUCCCUCUGAUGUUGUGUGACCUUAAGGAGUGUAAAUGGCACCUUAGUUUCAGGGUCACUUGGGUAUGAGCAUUGGAUAUUCCCAUCCCUACCUCAGUAACUGAAGGACAAACCAAGAUAAGUGUGUCUAUCUACUGUGUCCCAGGCUUCUUUAUUUAAGAAAAAAGUGAUACAUGAUGUGGGAUUAAAAUCAAGAGCAUCAUUGAACUUCACCUUCCCUCCAACCAGUUGCCCCAAACUCCCCUGCCCCCACCCUUUGUGUUCCCAAUUCCUUCCUUAGUGAAUGAAGAACUUAAUCCCAAAAACCCUGGCACAAACUCCAGGUUUUCUUUCCCUAGCUCCUCCCCUCCCCCUGUCCCCCAUUCCUAGAAGGGCAGGCACCUCAGUUUGAAUGCAUGGGAGAGCCCAGAGUGGUGACGGAGACAGGGGGAAAGGCUUCCCCCUCAGGGAAAGGGACCGAGGAGUACAGUGCAGUGAAGUGAGGGCUCCCAUAGCCUGGGGUACCAAAAUGGGGCCCUGGGGCCAGAGGAAAGGACACUGGUCCCCCUGAGAAAGGAGACCCAGCAGCCUCAAAAUCCUCUCGUUGUGCAUAGUCGCUGCUUGAUCGCUUGCCCUUCUGGCGCCGGUUACAGAACCACACUCGGACCACCUGCAAGUGAAUGACAGAAAGGAUUUAAAAUAUAUAUAUAUAUUAUGGAAAAAAGUAAAGCAGUCUGGGCGCAGUGGUCAUGCCUGUAAUCCCUUCACUUUGGGAGGCCAAGGUGGGUAGAUCACUUGAGGUCAGGAGUUCAAGACUAGCCUGGUCAACAUAGUGAGACUCUGUCUCUACUAAAAAUACAAAAAUUAGCUGGGCAUCAUGGCGCUCCCCUAUAAUCCCAGCUACUCAGGAGGCUGAGGCAGGAGAAUUGCUUGAACCUAGGAGGUGGAGUUUGCAGUGAGCCAAGAUCGCACCACUGCACUCCAGCCUGAGGGACAGAGUGAGACUCCAUCUCAAAAAUUAAAAAAAAAAUAAAGCAGUCUAUAGGAGUAGGGUAAAGGAGGGAAGGAGAUUAUGGAGGAGGGUGACACUUUUAAAGACAGAGAAGGUGAUUGUUUGAGCAAAGGACAAGAGUCUAAUGUGGCAAGGCCCUGAAGUGGGCC